GGAGGUUYGAAUCCUUCCGUCCCAG
rnacentral:tRNA from 3 species